GGUGCCUGCCCGCCCGGAGCCUGGGUGUGAGGCUGGCGUCACGUCAACGAGCAGAGGCGGCCAGGCGGGGCGGAGUGCGCGUGCGCGGCUCGCUCGCCGGGUGUGGGAGCGGGCUCGGGGCGGCGGGCACGCGCACGCGCGCACCCCGGGCAGCCUAGGCGGCCGCUCCUGCCUGUCACUCCUGCGGCGCUGCUCGCUGCUCCUUCCCUUGAAGGCAGCGGAGGCGGCGGCGGCGGCGGCGGCUCCUCCAGACACCUGCGGCGGCGACCCCCCGGCGGCGGCGCGGAGAUGUGGCCCUUGGUGGCGGCGCUGUUGCUGGGCUCCUGCUGCUGCGGUUCAGCUCAGCUACUGUUAAGUAAAAUCAAAUCUGUAGAAUACACUAUGUGCAAUGAAACUGUCGUCAUCCCUUGCAUCGUCCUCAAUGUGGAGACACAAAGCACCAAAGACAUGCACGUGCAGUGGAAGUUAAACAAAACAUCUAUUUUCAUCUAUGAUGGAACUAAAAACAACUCCAUUGUAGAGAGUAACAUUACCAGUGCAAAGAUCUCAGUCUCCGACUUACUGAAAGGUGAUGCCUCUUUGAAAAUGGAUCGGCAACAAGCUGUCGUGGGAAACUACACGUGUGAAGUUACAGAGUUAUCCAGAGAAGGCAAAACAGUUAUAGAGCUGAAAUACCGUAUGGCUUCAUGGUUUUCUCCAAAUGAAAAGAUCCUCAUUGUUAUUUUUCCGAUUUUGGCUAUACUACUUUUCUGGGGAAAGUUCGGUAUUUUAACACUUAAAUAUAAAUCCACUCGAACGAAUAAGAGAAUCAUUCUGCUGCUGGUCGCUGGGCUGGUGCUCACUGUCAUCGUAGUUGUUGGAGCUAUUCUUCUCAUCCCUGGAGAAAACCCUGUAAAGAGUGCUUCUGGACUUGGUCUCAUUGUCAUCUCUAUAGGAACAUUAAUACUACUUCAGUACAAUGUGUUUAUGACCGCUUUCGGAAUGACCUCCUUCACCAUUGCCAUAUUGAUCACUCAAGUGCUGGGCUAUGUCCUUGCUUUGGUUGGAUUGUGUCUCUGCAUCAUGGCUUGCGAAAUAGUGCAUGGCCCCCUUUUGAUUUCAGGGUUGGGUAUCAUAGCUCUAGCAGAACUACUUGGACUAGUUUAUAUGAAAUUUGUCGAGUGGAGAGAGACACCUUCGGUCAGUUGAAAAGCAAGAAGAAAAGCUUCCAACCAGAGGACUAUACAACCUCCUAGGAAAGCUGUAGAGGAACCUCUUAACGCAUUUAAAGAAUCAAAAGGAAUGAUGAAUGAUGAGUAAGUGAGGGGAAGUGAUGAACCUGGAGAGUCAGAAGUAAAGGAAUACAUUUGUGUUUAAGCACCAUGGCCUUGCUGACUCAGCUGGGAAGAAGAAAAUAAGCAACAGUAACUGACUUUUCAUCUAUGAAAGAACAUGUCAUUGACCCAUAGAUGAUUAUUACAGUUAAGUUUAUAUUCAAAGCAGCUGUGAUUUACUUAAUAAAAGAAUUAUAAUUGUGUUGUGUAACCAAUUGAAAUCCAUUUUUCUAUUGUUUCUACUCAACUAGGGGCAGACAUUUCAGGGGCAACUUCCAAGAAUGACACUUGCUAGAUCCUUGAGUCUCUGGACACUGGGUUUAAAUCAAUUCUGGAUGAGAUGUACCUACCAUUAACCUGAUGGCUAUCCAGAGAUACCUAUGAAAAAUAGUGGUAUCCAGCAAGCCUUAGUAAACUCAGGUUCCCAGCAGCUCUGUCACUCAUGCUGCUAGCUGAAUAUCAUGACUGUCACUGCCAGGUCACAGGGAUAAAGAGUGAAGUAGACAAAUGAGUCUGGUGGACAGAUCCUGUCUGCCCCCUAUGUGUGCUAUGAUAUUGACGGCACUAAUGCCUUCAUUCUUGGGGGUUGCCUCCACUUACACUCUCCCUUUGACAUAAAGUGCAUCCUGAUUUUGAAUUUUUUUUAAUCGAUGUGUUUUUCUUUUUCUUUCUUUUAUUCUUUUUUUUUUUUUUUUUUUUUUUUUUUUUUUUUCUUUUGCACAUGACCCUUUUGCACCCUGUCCUGUCCUGCUUCUUGCGUUUGAGGUACAAGAUGGAGUACCCUUUCUCCUCUUCAGACAUGGGCCCGUGACACAGUAGUGUCAGUUGCAGAAUGGAGCCAGACUUAUUCUCCAAGCACUGUGCUCACUCAUACUUUUCAGAAAAAAAAAAAAAUAGCUAUGGUUGUAACAUAUGUAUUCCAGACCUCUGGUUUGAAGGCAAAAUCUAAGGUGUUUCUUCCCAUGUUUUCUGAUUGGAGGCAUGACAAAGCAAGACUGAAAUCUGAACUAUGCGUCUCCUGCAUGGCAACAUGUGUCUCCAUCAGGGCCCUAGCAAGGCCAGGGGAGGAGGUUUUACGCCUAUUGUCUCUUUGUUGCAUGAUGAACACUCAUCACCUUCCUCCUGUAUCCUGCCUCCUGCCUCCUCCUCUUUCCCUAAGUUUGAAAAGUAAAACAAAGCCACCCCAUUCCCUACCCGGUUAGCAGAAAACCAAUGUCCUGACAGUUGUGAUCGCAUGGAGUACUUUUAGAUUAUUAGCACUUGUUUUUACCUCGUUUGUGGGCGUGUUUGUAUGUGCACAUGUAUAAGGUAGGCACAUGCAUCUUCUGUAUCCACAAAAUUGAGUCAUCAACAGAAGAGCAAAUGCUGACUUUGUGCUUUUAGUAAAUACAUUUACAAACAAAGGUCCUUAUUGGGUGGAAUUAUAUUUGAUGCAAAUAUUUGAUCUUUAAAACUAGGUAAUGUGCCAAGCUUUUUUGACUGCUCACCAGUGCCCUCUUAAAAAAAAAAAAAUACCAGUAAUGUUUCCUGUUUGUGUAACAAGGCAUUUGUAUUUGUGUUUGCAUUACUAAUGGUUAUUUCUUCUAGUCCACUGAAUGUUUCCAUGUGCCUCUUGUAUGCCAAAUUUAUUGUCAUCUUUCAUGUGGGGACCAAGUGGUUUGUUCAUGGCAAACCUAAUCAUAACGACCUACUGAGGCCUCUCAGAAAACUGACCAUACUACCAAGAUAGUGCUUCUAAAGAAAAGUAGGUUUCCUCCCUGAUUUUGUAGCUGUUCAAAGUAUUUGUGUAUAAAGAGGGAGCAGGAUGUCUGUAUACAAACCCGAUGGCUCCUGAUGCUUUCCUUUCUCCUUCUGAAAAUAUUUAGACUUUGCUCAUAUUGUUGGUUACUUUGAAGUCAGUUUUGAUGAAGAGAGAGAGAGCAAAAGGCAGAUGGACUUGGAACAGAUCCAAAUUUUCCUUCUCUAUUAAAAGAGUCAGGUGUGAAAAUCUUUAUAGUCAAAAAAAUUUUUUUAAUGAACUAAAGUUGUACCUUUUAAUAAUAUGUAGUCAAUGCCCCUCUGCUCGGGGUUCAGUCUUGGGUCUUAACCAACUGUCAUGUUCUCUUUGCUGCCUGCCAUUGGAGGCAUUGAGUGCCCUAGACAGUACCACUGGUGAUAGCCAGGGAAAUAUAGGAUGAAUUCAGCUCUUGUUCUUAGAUACCAACUUCUCUGUAUAAGGAACUACAGCAGCAAAGAGUGCUCGUGCCUGGGCAGUAUUGGGCCAGUUCACCCUCUUUAAAUCAAACCCACAAUGGCUCCCAGCUCUCAUCCUAGCAGAUUUAAAUUGCUAACAAUAUUGUGGGCUACAUGCAUCUGUUUUGCCCCACAAAAUGUUUUUUCUCUCUGAUCCCAAUUUCUGCUGCCAUUAUUCUCUAUUUGGUUUUUAUUUACUGUCUGCUCUCCAUUUAUACAAUAGUAUGGAGUGAUGCCAUUCGUCAUUUUCCGCAACACUUUUUCCAGCCUUUAUGGCUGAGUCCCAUUUUUCUUCUCUUUCAAAUCAUUGUGCUUCAGCCCUCACCCGUCACUGGCUGUAUUUGGUAACCUGUCCCCAUCUGUCUGGGGCCUCUCUCAUCUCUCACUUACCCUUCCUGGUGCUUCAUGUAUCUCUGCUUAGCUCUGUUGGGUUUUUUGUUUGUUUGUUUGGUUGGUUUUUUUUUGUGUGUGUGUGUGUGUGUGUGUGUGUUAUUCUCACUGAACUUUAAAAAUUCCUUCCAAAAUAAAAGUGUGGCUUCCCUUUCCUCCCUUUCUGCCUGUGGUGUUCUGCAUACAUUAGUAAAUACUCAGUACAGAAGUUUGAUGGCAAGAGUUUCCUGCACUUAGAUUCUCUUUUUUAAUGGGGUAAGCUAGAGUUUUUCUCUCUUUAUUUUUCUUUUUGUUUCUUUAUUUCUAUUUUUGACAAAUUUCACAUGCUUUGAAAAUUAUAAGAGACUAAGUAAGGAUGAUUCACCUGAAAAUUCCAAGUCUGGUCUGUUGAAAUCAUUCACAAUAUCAGACUAAAAGUCAUGGGGUUGUAUCUACAUAAUAGGCUUUCUUUCGGGAUGUUAUAGUCAAUAUAGUGGCAAAAUUGUGUUUGAGUUAUUAAAAUUGGGAAAGUGAUGCAUUCACUCUGCUAUUAUCUCAUUAAUAAGAGUUCAGCUGUAUAUCAUUGUCUAGAUUUAUCUUGUCUUACAGUGGGUACUCAAAAAUGUCCUCCACAGGGCGUGUAAAUACAGGCACCUGUUUGCCUGAUGUUGGGAACUAGAGGGGAAAAAAAAAGUCUGGCAACACUUUGUCCUUUUACUGUAUUUAACUGAGGCUUUAUUUAGAGAUGAGUGUUAAAAAAAAAAAAAAAAUCUCUUAAUCGCCACACCCACUAGGGGUCUUGUUAAGUCAUCUUCUGUGGCUAAAAGGGAUGGCCCAAGUUAACUUCAAAGAGAUGAGCUGUACCCAGGAAAUUGUCCUGCCUAUGACUUUGAUCACCCUUCAUUAUGACCGUUCAAUAGCGAGUUUUCCACAUGUCUAAUAUUUGGAGGAAAAGAAAGGGCAUUUUUAGUAAGCCUCUCUAUAAGAUGUCAGUGGAGUUUUCAGGGUGUUUGUCAUGAUGGAUGACAGAAGAAAACAUUUUUGAUUUUUAUUAAACAGAGUAUUAUUUACAGAAAGCCAUUGUUGAGAAUUAGUUCCCACAUCAUAUAACUGUCCAUUAACCACUCUAAAUUGUAAGAGGACUCCAGUAUUGCUAUGUGCAAGGUACUCUCCUGGGGGCCUUUUAGCAUAGCAAUUAAAGGUGUACUAUUUGUCAGUAGCCAUUUUUUUGCAGUAAUUUAAAGACCAAAGUUGUUUUACAGCUGUGUUACCCUUAAAGGUUUUUUUUUUUUAUGUAUUAAAUCAAUUUAUCACUGUUUGAAGCUUUGAAUACCUGCAAUCUUUGCCAAGAUACUUUUUUAUUUAAAAAAAAAACUGUGUAAAUAUUACCCUGUAAUAUUAUAUAUACUUAAUAAAACAUUUUAAGCUA